UUACCAGCCAGGCUCCUGGCUAAUUCCAGCUCUUAGCUGGAAAUAUCCAAAACCUGGCUGUAAA
rfam:Neotoma lepida isolate 417 scaffold_10621, whole genome shotgun sequence.